AACGAACGCUGGCGGCAGGCCUAACACAUGCAAGUCGAGCGCCCCGCAAGGGGAGCGGCGGACGGGUGAGUAACGCGUGGGAACGUACCCUUUGCUACGGAAUAGCCUCGGGAAACUGGGAGUAAUACCGUAUGUGCCCUUCGGGGGAAAGAUUUAUCGGCAAAGGGUCGGCCCGCGUUGGAUUAGGUAGUUGGUGGGGUAAUGGCCUACCAAGCCGACGAUCCAUAGCUGGUUUGAGAGGAUGAUCAGCCACACUGGGACUGGGACACGGCCCAGACUCCUACGGGAAGCAGCAGUGGGGAAUUUUAGACAAUGGGCGCAAGCCUGAUCUAGCCAUGCCGCGUGAGCGAUGAAGGCCUUAGGGUUGUAAAGCUCUUUCAGUGGGGAAGAUAAUGACUGUACCCACAGAAGAAGCCCCGGCUAACUCCGUGCCAGCAGCCGCAGUAAGAC
rnacentral:rRNA from 1 species